rnacentral:rRNA from 1 species
GCAAGUCGAACGAACCCUUCGGGGUGAGUGGCGCACGGGUGCGUAACGCGUGGGAAUAUACCCUUUGGUAAGGAAUAACUGCUGGAAACGGUAGCUAAUACCUUAUAAUGACUCCGGUCCAAAGAUUUAUCGCCAAGGGAUUAGCCCGCGUCUGAUUAGCUAGUUGGUGAGGUAAUGGCUCACCAAGGCGACGAUCAGUAGCUGGUUUGAGAGAACGAUC